rnacentral:rRNA from 1 species
GAUGAACGCUGGCGGCGUGCCUAAUACAUGCAAGUCGAGCGAACAGACGAGGAGCUUGCUCCUCUGACGUUAGCGGCGGACGGGUGAGUAACACGUGGAUAACCUACCUAUAAGACUGGGAUAACUUCGGGAAACCGGAGCUAAUACCGGAUAAUAUAUUGAACCGCAUGGUUCAAUAGUUAAAUACGGUUUUGCUGUCACUUAUAGAUGGAUCCGCGCCGCAUUAGCUAGUUGGUAAGGUAACGGCUUACCAAGGCAACGAUGCGUAGCCGACCUGAGAGGGAGAUCGGGCACACUGGAACUGAGAAACGGUCAAGACUCCUACGGGAGGCAGCAGUAGGGAAUAUUCCGCAAUGGGCGAGAGACUGACGGAGCAACGCCGCGUGAGUGAUGAAGGUCUUCGGCUCGUAAAACUCUGUUAUUAGGGAAGAACAAAUGUGUAAGUAACUAUGCACGUCUUGACGGUACCUAAUCAGAAAGCCACGGCUAACUACGUG